ACUUUGGGUUGGAAAUGAGACCUUCAAGAAGGUUUUGAUGUGGCAAAAAGCAUUAAAGCAGGAGGAAGUCCUUCAAACGGAGUGUGUGAGGAUGGGAGCGGCUCAGAAAGCUUUUCACCUGUUUUCUUCUCCGUUUGAUGUGGCUGAUUUUAUUUAGAGUGGAUCCGCCGUCGCUGUCCAGGUAACAUGUUCACCGUCCUCAGGAGCUUCAGCAGGUCAGAGAAGUGAAGUCUGGCCUCAGCUUCUCCUUUCUACUGGUUUCACUCUGGAGGUUUAAAGGUUUGAGCCGCCAUGGAGGCUGAGCGGACUGGAACAAUUAAUCGGAUUAAUCGAUCCAGACAGAUACAUCAGAAACACACAGAGUCUGAACCAUCUGCCCUGAGGUUCUCCGUCACUAACGACCUCAGAUUCGCUGCUUAAGAGAAGAUAGAUAAAUCUUUAUUGUCAUUGUCACAAGCACAACGAAAUUCAAAAGGCGCCACCAGUCAGUGCAUAUGCUUAAAAACAAAAAAUAACUGUCUCACAAUUCACACACAAUGUAAGAAUGAACAAAUAACUGG